GCCAGGCAUGGUGGCACGUGCCUGUAGUCCCAGCUACUCAGGAGGCUGAGGCUGGAGAUCGCCUGAGCCCAGUAGUUCUGGGCUGUAGUGCGCUAUGCCGAUUGGGUGUCUGCACUAAUUUUGGCAUCAAUAUGAUGACCUCCCGGGAGCGGGGUACCACCAGGUUACCUAAGGAGGGGUGAACCGGUCCAGGUUGGAAAUGGAGCAGGUCAAAACUCCUGUGCUGAUCAGUAGUGGAAUUGCGCAUGUGAAUAGCCACUGCACUCCAGCCUGGGCAACAUAGUGAGACCCCGUCUCUA
rnacentral:SRP_RNA from 1 species